rnacentral:rRNA from 1 species
AACGAACGCUGGCGGCAGGCCUAACACAUGCAAGUCGAACGCCGUAGCAAUACGGAGUGGCAGACGGGUGAGUAACGCGUGGGAACAUACCCCUCGGUUCGGAAUAACUCAGGGAAACUUGAGCUAAUACCGGAUACGUCCGAGGUUUUAAUCGACCUUGGAGAAAGAUUUAUCGCCGGAGGAUUGGCCCGCGUCUGAUUAGCUUGUUGGUGAGGUAAUGGCUCACCAAGGCGACGAUCAGUAGCUGGUCUGAGAGGAUGAUCAGCCACAUUGGGACUGAGACACGGCCCAAACUCCUACGGGAGGCAGCAGUGGGGAAUAUUGGACAAUGGGCGAAAGCCUGAUCCAGCCAUGCCGCGUGAGUGAUGAAGGCCUUAGGGUUGUAAAGCUCUUUUACCCGGGAAGAUAAUGACGGUACCGGGAGAAUAGCCCCGGCUAACUUCGUGCCAGCAGCAGCCGCCGCAGUAAC